AACGAACGCUGGCGGCGUGCCUAACACAUGCAAGUCGAGCGCGAAUAGGGGCAACCCUUAGUAGAGCGGCGCACGGGUGCGUAACACGUGGGUAAUCUGCCUGGGAGAUUGGGAUAACCACCCGAAAGGGUGACUAAUACCGAAUAAGCCCACGAGUCCUUCGGGACUUGAGGGAAAAGGUGGCCUCUGCAUGCAAGCUACCACUUCCAGAUGAGCCCGCGGCCCAUCAGCUAGUUGGCGGGGUAACGGCCCACCAAGGCAACGACGGGUAGCUGGUCUGAGAGGACGAUCAGCCACACUGGAACUGAGACACGGUCCAGACUCCUACGGGAGGCAGCAGUGGGGAAUUUUGCGCAAUGGGCGAAAGCCUGACGCAGCAACGCCGCGUGUGUGAUGAAGGUCUUCGGAUCGUAAAGCACUUUCGACCGGGACGAAAACCUGAGCGCUAACAUCGUUCAGCUUGACGGUACCGGGAGAAGAAGCACCGGCUAACUCCGUGCCAGCAGCCGCGGUAAUACAGAGGGUGCAAGCGUUGUUCGGAAUUAUUGGGCGUAAAGCGCGUGUAGGCGGCCUAGCAAGUCGUGUGUGAAAGCCCUCGGCUCAACCGAGGAAGUGCGCAUGAAACUGCUGGGCUUGAGUGCCGGAGAGGGUGGCGGAAUUCCCCAAGUAGAGGUGAAAUUCGUAGAUAUGGGGAGGAACACCGGUGGCGAAGGCGGCCACCUGGACGGUCACUGACGCUGAGACGCGAAAGCGUGGGUAGCAAACAGGAUUAGAUACCCUGGUAGUCCACGCUGUAAACGAUGAGAACUAGGUGUCGCGGGAGUUGACCCCUGCGGUGCCGGAGCUAACGCAUUAAGUUCUCCGCCUGGGGAGUACGGCCGCAAGGCUA
rnacentral:rRNA from 1 species